rnacentral:rRNA from 1 species
CUCAGGACGAACGCUGGCGGCGUGCCUAAUACAUGCAAGUCGAGCGGACUUACGGGAGCUUGCUCCCGUAAGUUAGCGGCGGACGGGUGAGUAACACGUGGGCAACCUGCCUGUAAGACUGGGAUAACUUCGGGAAACCGGAGCUAAUACCGGAUAACUCUUUCCCUCACAUGAGGGAAAGCUGAAAGAUGGUUUCGGCUAUCACUUACAGAUGGGCCCGCGGCGCAUUAGCUAGUUGGUGAGGUAACGGCUCACCAAGGCGACGAUGCGUAGCCGACCUGAGAGGGUGAUCGGCCACACUGGGACUGAGACACGGCCCAGACUCCUACGGGAGGCAGCAGUAGGGAAUCUUCCGCAAUGGACGAAAGUCUGACGGAGCAACGCCGCGUGAGUGAUGAAGGUUUUCGGAUCGUAAAACUCUGUUGUCAGGGAAGAACAAGUACCGGAGUAACUGCCGGUACCUUGACGGUACCUGACCAGAAAGCCACGGCUAACUACGUGCCAGCAGCCGCGGUAAUACGUAGGUGGCAAGCGUUGUCCGGAAUUAUUGGGCGUAAAGCGCGCGCAGGCGGUUUCUUAAGUCUGAUGUGAAAGCCCACGGCUCAACCGUGGAGGGUCAUUGGAAACUGGGAAACUUGAGUGCAGAAGAGGAGAGUGGAAUUCCACGUGUAGCGGUGAAAUGCGUAGAGAUGUGGAGGAACACCAGUGGCGAAGGCGACUCUCUGGUCUGUAA